GUGUUUUUGAGGGGACAUUUGAGCCAUUGGUGAGAUACCACUCUUAUAAAGCUAGAAUUCUAACCUUAUACCGUUAGCCGGUUAAGGAACAGUCUCUGGUGGGCAGUUUGACUGGGGCGGUCGCCUCCUAAAAGGUAACGGAGGCGCACAAAGGUUUCCUCAGAUCGGUCAGAAAUCGAUCGUAGAGCGUAAAGGCAUAAGGAAGCUUGACUGCGAGACCUACAAGUCGAGCAGAGACGAAAGUCGGUCUUAGUGAUCUGACGGUUCCGAGUGGAAGGGCCGUCACUCAACGGAUAAAAGUUACUCUAGGGAUAAC
rnacentral:rRNA from 1 species